GACGAACGCUGGCGGCAUGCCUAAUACAUGCAAGUCGAGCGAACAGAUGAAGUGCUUGCACUUCUGACGUUAGCGGCGAAUGGGUGAGUAACACGUAAGGAAUCUACCUAUAAGCGGGGGAUAACAUUCGGAAACGGGUGCUAAUACUGCAUAAUAUCUUCUUCCGCAUGGAAGAAGAUUGAAAGACGGCUCUGCUGUCACUUAUAGAUGGCCUUGCGGUGCAUUAGUUAGUUGGUGGGGUAACGGCCUACCAAGACGAUGAUGCAUAGCCGACCUGAGAGGGUGAUCGGCCACAUUGGGACUGAGACACGGCCCAAACUCCUACGGGAGGCAGCAGUAGGGAAUCUUCCGCAAUGGGCGAAAGCCUGACGCAGCGACGCCGCGUGAGGGAAGAAGGCCUUCGGGUUGUAAACCUCUUUCAGGAGGGACGAAGCCACUCGGGUUAAUAGCCCAGAGGGUGACGGUACCUCCAGAAGAAGCCCCGGCUAACUACGUGCCAGCCGCCGCCGUAA
rnacentral:rRNA from 1 species